ensembl:ncRNA F58G4.8 ncRNA
AAUGCUGUAAGGAUCGUGUAAUUUUGACGACGAGGCAAACAAUUUCGAGCAACAACGCAACGUAAGGAGGUGGAGGAUAAGUGUGCCGUUGGAGACUUUGCGGAGGAGGGAACCGAAAUGAAAGAGAAAUAAAGAAAGAUGUGAAUCUGCCUUUCCCCUCCGUAGAUAUACAACAAACAGUAAGUCUCUGCUUGGAUGGCUCACGGGAAGCUCGUGCUCCUGUCGGGUUGGCGGCGCGGGCGGCUGCCGCAGAUGCAAAAUCCUCCCACUUAUCGCAUGUGCAUU